UACGUAGGUGGCAAGCGUUGUCCGGAUUUACUGGGCGUAAAGAGCGCGCAGGCGGUCGUUCAAGUCGCGUGUGAAAGCCCCCGGCUCAACUGGGGAGGGUCACGCGAUACUGAUCGACUCGAAGGCAGGAGAGGGUAGUGGAAUUCCCGGUGUAGUGGUGAAAUGCGUAGAUAUCGGGAGGAACACCAGUGGCGAAGGCGGGUCUCUGGGCCGAGUACUGACGCUCAUGCACGAAAGCGUGGGGAGCAAACAGG
rnacentral:rRNA from 1 species